UGUAGUCAUAUGCUUGUCUCAAAGAUUAAGCCAUGCAUGUCUAAGUAUAAGCAAUUAUACCGCGAAACUGCGAAUGGCUCAUUAUAUAAGUUAUCGUUUAUUUGAUAAUACUUUACUACUUGGAUAACCGUGGUAAUUCUAGAGCUAAUACAUGCUAAAAAUCCCGACUUCGGAAGGGUUGUAUUUAUUAGAUUAAAAACCAAUGCCCCUCGGGGCUCUCUGGUGAAUCAUAAUAACUAGUCGAAUCGACAGGCCUUGUGCCGGCGAUGGCUCAUUCAAAUUUCUUCCCUAUCAACUUUCGAUGUUUGGGUCUUGUCCAAACAUGGUGGCAACGGGUAACGGAGGGUUAGGGCUCGACCCCGGAGAAGGAGCCUGAGAAACGGCUACUACAUCCAAGGAAGGCAGCAGGCGCGCAAAUUACCCAAUCCCGACACGGGGAGGUAGUGACAAUAAAUACUGAUACAGGGCUCUUUUGGGUCUUGUAAUCGGAAUGAGUACAAUUUAAAUCCCUUAACGAGGAACAAUUGGAGGGCAAGUCUGGUAAUCG
rnacentral:rRNA from 1 species